rnacentral:tRNA from 1 species
ACUUGAAUAGCUUAUGUUUAGAGCGCAACACUGAAGAUGUUGAUGAGGCAUUAAUUGCCUUUAGGUA